rnacentral:misc_RNA from 1 species
CUGAAAUGCAGAUGAAGGACGCAACUUU